rnacentral:rRNA from 1 species
UACGAAGGUGGCAAGCGUUGUUCGGAAUCACUGGGCGUAAAGGGUGCGUAGGCGGGCCUUUAAGUCAGGGGUGAAAUCCUGGAGCUCAACUCCAGAACUGCCUUUGAUACUGAAGAUCUUGAGUUCGGGAGAGGUGAGUGGAACUGCGAGUGUAGAGGUGAAAUUCGUAGAUAUUCGCAAGAACACCAGUGGCGAAGGCGGCUCACUGGCCCGAUACUGACGCUGAGGCACGAAAGCGUGGGGAGCAAGCAGG